rnacentral:tRNA from 1 species
GCCGUUGUAGCUCAGCUGGUAGAGCAUCUCCAUGGUAAGGAGAAGGUCUCGGGUCCGAACCCCGACAACGGCU